AUGGCGAUACACUUCCACCGCACCAAAAAACCAGCCCUCUUUCUCAAGCUAGACCUGGCAAAGGCCUUCGAAACUUUGUCCUGGCCCUAUCUGCUGGAUCUCAUGAGGGCGCGGGGUUUCGGUCCCCGUUGGUGCAACUGGAUCUCCAUGCUCCUAGCCACAUCUUCCUCACGGGUGAUCAUCAACGGCAUCGUUGGAGACAGCUUCGCGUAUGCUCGGGGGGUGAGACAGGGCGACCCUCUCUCCCCCUUCCUCUUCAUCCUCGCAAUGGAACCGCUCUGUGCCCUCCUUCGCCUGGCCGCGACCGACGGCAUCCUUUCCCUGCUGCGUGGCCGCGCCCCACGGCUGCGAGCCUCACUGUACGCGGACGACGUGGCGCUCUUCAUCAACCCA
rnacentral:rRNA from 1 species